UGAGUAACAUAUUGGAACGUACCGAGUAAAGGGGGAUAACUAUCCGAAAGGAUAGCUAAUACCGCAUACGCUUUGAGAAGGAAAGUGGGGGAUCUUCGGACCUCACGUUAUUCGAGCGGCCAAUAUCUGAUAAGCUAGUUGGUGGGGUAAAGGCCUACCAAGGCGACGAUCAGUAGCGGGUCUGAGAGGACGAUCCGCCACACUGGGACUGAGACACGGCCCAGACUCCUACGGGAGGCAGCAGUGGGGAAUUUUGGACAAUGGGCGCAAGCCUGAUCCAGCCAUGCCGCGUGUCUGAAGAAGGCCUUCGGGUUGUAAAGGACUUUUGUUAGGGAAGAAAAGAAAUGGGUUAAUACCCCAUUUUGCAGACG
rnacentral:rRNA from 1 species